rnacentral:sRNA from 1 species
CCUUAAAAGAAAUGCUUUGAUGUUCCACCUUACUCUUGUGAGAAUGGCUAUCAUCAAGAAAUCAAAUAUCUGCUAUUCUGAUCAGGUGUCCACACUAAGUUCAACAUCAACAUGGUGACCUCCCAGGAGCAGAGGACAACCAGGUUGCCUAAGAGUGGUGAACCGCCCAGGUCAGAGACAGAGCUGGUCAAAACUCCCAUGUUGAUCAGUAGUGGGAUCGCACCUAUUAAUAGCCACUGCACUCCAGCCU